UGGUGCCAGCAGCCGCGGUAUUCCAGCUCCAAUAGCGUAUAUUAAAAUUGUUGCAGUUAAAAAGCUCGUAGUUGAAUUUCUGCCGCAUCGCCGCGGCCCCCCCGGGCCCUGGGGUUUAUUUAGACUCGCUUGCUUCUCCGAAUGUUUACUUUGAUUGAUAAAAGUGCUCAGAUCAGGCCCUUGCCUUGCCUUCUUUAGCAUGGAAUGAUAUAGUAAGACUUUACUUCUAUUUUGUUUUGUUGGCUCCAAGUAACUGGUUAAUAGGAACAGUUGGGGGCAUUCGGAUUUCGCUGUUAGAGGUGAAAUUCGAAAAUUUGUUAUUGACUAACCACUAACUACUGAUUUGCCAAUGAUGUUUUCUUUAUUCAUUAACCAAAAUUAAGGGAUCGAAGAUCAUAAAAUACCGUAUACCUCCUAACCCUUAACCAUGCCCACUGCAGAUUGGAGGUCGGCAGUUUUUACUACUCCUU
rnacentral:rRNA from 1 species